UCGUGCGAGAAAGUAUCUUCGGAUAUGAGUAGAGCGGCGGACGGGUGAGUAACGCGUAGGAAUCUACCUAGUAGAAGGGGAUAGCCCGGGGAAACUCGGAUUAAUACCGUAUACCUCCUUAGGGAGAAAGAAGGCCUCUCUUUGAAGCUUUCGCUACUAGAUGAGCCUGCGUAAGAUUAGCUUGUUGGUGAGGUAAUGGCUCACCAAGGCGACGAUCUUUAGCGGGUCCGAGAGGACGAUCCGCCACAUUGGGACUGAGACACGGCCCAGACUCCUACGGGAGGCAGCAGUGGGGAAUAUUGGACAAUGGGCGCAAGCCUGAUCCAGCCAUACCGCGUGUGUGAAGAAGGCCCUAGGGUUGUAAAGCACUUUAAGUUGGGAAGAAAAGUUAUUGGUUAAUACCCAAUAACCGUGACAUUACCUUCAGAAUAAGGACCGGCUAAUUCCGUGCCAGCAGCCGCGGUAAUACGGAAAGGUCCAAGCGUUAAUCGGAAUUACUGGGCGUAAAGCGCGCGU
rnacentral:rRNA from 1 species